GCAAGUCGAGCGGUAGCACAGAGAAGCUUGCUUCUUGGGUGCACGAGCGGCGGACGGGUGAGUAACGCGUGGGAAUCUACCUGGUAGUGGGGGACAACAGUCGGAAACGACUGCUAAUACCGCAUACGCCCUUGGGGGAAAGUGGGGGAUCUUCGGACCUCACGCUAUCAGAUGAGCCCGCGUCGGAUUAGCUUGUUGGUGAGGUAAAGGCUCACCAAGGCGAUGAUCCGUAGCUGGUCUGAGAGGAUGACCAGCCACACUGGGACUGAGACACGGCCCAGACUCCUACGGGAGGCAGCAGUGGGGAAUAUUGGACAAUGGGGGCAACCCUGAUCCAGCCAUGCCGCGUGUGUGAAGAAGGCCUUCGGGUUGUAAAGCACUUUCAGCUGUGAGGAAAGGUGAGUGGUUAAUACCCGCUUGCUGUGACGUUAACAGCAGAAGAAGGACCGGCUAACUCCGUGCCAGCAGCCGCGGUAAUACGGAGGGUCCGAGCGUUAAUCGGAAUUACUGGGCGUAAAGCGCGCGUAGGUGGUUCAGUCAGUCAGAUGUGAAGGCCCCGGGCUCAACCUGGGAACUGCACCUGAUACUGCUGAGCUAGAGUACGGUAGAGGGUAGUGGAAUUUCCGGUGUAGCGGUGAAAUGCGUAGAGAUCGGAAGGAACACCAGUGGCGAAGGCGACUACCUGGACCGAUACUGACACUGAGGUGCGAAAGCGUGGGUAGCAAACAGGAUUAGAUACCCUGGUAGUCCACGCCCUAAACGAUGUCAACUAGGUGUAUGGAGAAUUUAUUCUUUGUGUAUCGAAGCUAACGCGAUAAGUUGACCGCCUGGGAGUACGGUCGCAAGACUACACUCAAGGAAUUGACGGAA
rnacentral:rRNA from 1 species